rnacentral:tRNA from 1 species
ACCUUCUUAGUAUAGAAAGUACAGUUGACUUCCACUUAGCGGGUUCCUUUAGGGAAGAAGGUA